CCCAGGCAGUGGAUUGCAUUUCCCAGACCCUAUAGAUUUGAGUUGUUGGACAAGUUAGUGACCGCAGGGGGGCAACAGGCCCUCAACCAAGUGUUUUAUAAGGGGGGAGGGGAUAAUUUUGGCCCCCCACAAAAAAAAACAAUUUGAUUUCGAAACUAGAAGUAUUUGAAAUCAUAUAUACAUAUAAUCAAAUAUCUGUAAUCGAUAUUUUGAUAACAUUUCUCGUAAUAAUCCAUCCUGACUCGCGGAUAUCAUAGACUCACAAAUCAUAAUGAACGAAUUAAUGAAAGGGCCUAACAAAAGACGUAUAGAAGACUUUGAAAAUGCCAUUUCCAACGAUUUAGAGACGCACAAUUUUCAAAAUUUUUCCGCUCUGUGCCAACCAUGGUGGCGCUUCGUGGGAGUCGGGAACUCUAAGUUUAUCAAGCUAAACAUAGUAUGUUUAUAAACAUACUAUGCAAGUCAGCAAGUACUUAACUGAAGGUUCAGUCUAUCUACAGCAUAAUGUAAUGCUGUAUAUCCAAAAUUCUGUUUCAGAAAAUGCAGGGAAUUGCAGUCAUAGG